rnacentral:rRNA from 1 species
CCUACGGGCGGCAGCAGUGAGGAAUAUUGGUCAAUGGGCGAGAGCCUGAACCAGCCAAGUCGCGUGAAGGAUGAAGGAUCUAUGGUUUGUAAACUUCUUUUAUAUGGGAAUAAAGUGAGGAACAUGUUCCUUUUUGUAUGUACCAUAUGAAUAAGCAUCGGCUAACUCCGUGCCAGCAGCCGCGGUAAUACGGAGGAUGCGAGCGUUAUCCGGGUUUAUUGGGUUUAAAGGGUGCGUAGGGGGUUAAUUAAGUCAGCGGUGAAAGUUUGUGGCUCAACCAUAACAUUGCCGUUGAAACUGGUUGACUUGAGUAUAUUUGAGGUAGGCGGAAUGCGUGGUGUAGCGGUGAAAUGCAUAGAUAUCACGCAGAACUCCGAUUGCGAAGGCAGCUUACUAAACUAUAACUGACACUGAAGCACGAAAGCGUGGGGAGCAAACAGGAUUAGAUACCCGAGUAGUC